UAGGGAAUCUUCCGCAAUGGGCGAAAGCCUGACGGAGCAACGCCGCGUGAGUGAUGAAGGUCUUCGGAUCGUAAAACUCUGUUAUUAGGGAAGAACAAAUGUGUAAGUAACUAUGCACGUCUUGACGGUACCUAAUCAGAAAGCCACGGCUAACUACGUGCCAGCAGCCGCGGUAAUACGUAGGUGGCAAGCGUUAUCCGGAAUUAUUGGGCGUAAAGCGCGCGUAGGCGGUUUUUUAAGUCUGAUGUGAAAGCCCACGGCUCAACCGUGGAGGGUCAUUGGGAACUGGAAAACUUGGGUGCAGAAGAGGAAAGUGGAAUUCCAUGUGUAGCGGUGAAAUGCGCAGAGAUAUGGAGGAACACCAGUGGCGAAGGCGACUUUCUGGUCUGUAACUGACGCUGAUGUGCGAAAGCGUGGGGAUCAAACAGG
rnacentral:rRNA from 1 species